AAGCGUUUGCGACCAGACCUUUUCCUUGGGGAUCAUCCGGUGUUCUCACCGGUGCACUUCCCUUGGUUUAGGCCAGCAUCGGUUUCUGUAGGGGGAUAAAAACUUGAGGAAUGUAGCUCCCUCGGGAGUGUUAUAGCCUCUUGUAUAAUACCCUUCCGGGGACCGAGGACCGCGCUUCGGCAAGGAUGCUGGCAUAAUGGUCGUCAACGA
rnacentral:rRNA from 1 species